rnacentral:rRNA from 1 species
UACGAAGGGUGCAAACGUUGCUCGGAAUCAUUGGGCGUAAAGCGCACGUAGGCGGCUUGCCAAGUCGGACGUGAAAUCCCUCAGCUCAACCGAGGACGUGCAUCCGAAACUGGCGAGCUUGAGUACUGAAGAGGAUCGCGGAAUUCCCGGUGUAGAGGUGAAAUUCGUAGAUAUCGGGAGGAACACCAGUGGCGAAGGCGGCGAUCUGGGCAGAUACUGACGCUGAGGUGCGAAAGCGUGGGGAGCAAACAGG